CGGAGUAUGGCGCAGUUUGGCAGCGUGCCACCUGGGGAUGGUGGAGGUCGUAGGUUCAAAUCCUGCUGCUCCGA
rnacentral:tRNA from 2 species